UGAUUUCGCCUUCAAUGUUUCAUUAUAACUAUGGUGGGAUUCAGGCUAAAACGCAAAAUGUAACAUCUGAGGGCGAUUCAGAUGGUGAUAAUGAUAUCGUCAUUGUGUCAAGCUGAAACAUAGCAGAAUACCUGCCCAAAGCUACAUAGGAUCACUUUGUCUUGAUCGUAUCAGAGUUCAUAUAUAUUCCAUGGAAAUACACGAAAGAAUGAGUAACUAAACGAGCAGCUACAAGGGACCAUGGAUUCAAAAUCUUUGCUCGAUGAGAUGGACAAGAAGAUGCACUUGGAGAGGGAGGAGAUGGACAAGAAAGUCAGCAACGAACGUGCAGCUGUUGACAGGGUGAUAAA